rnacentral:lncRNA from 1 species
GGUUUGAGUGUGAGUCAGGCAUGUCCUCUCAACUACUCUCCUGUCUGCGGUAAUGAUGGCAACACAUACGUCAAUGAAUGCACCCUGUGUGUGCAGAGAAUGCACUCUAAUGCGGACAUUUUGAUUGUGAAAGAUGGCCGCUGCUGA